rnacentral:rRNA from 1 species
AAUUUUGGACAAUGGGGGCAACCCUGAUCCAGCCAUGCCGCGUGCGGGAAGAAGGCCUUCGGGUUGUAAACCGCUUUCGGCCGGAACGAAAUCGCCCGGGUGAACAUCCCGGGUGGACGACGGUACCGGAAGAAGAAGCACCGGCUAACUACGUGCCAGCAGCCGCGGUAAUACGUAGGGUGCGAGCGUUAAUCGGAAUUACUGGGCGUAAAGCGUGCGCAGGCGGUCUCGUAAGACAGGUGUGAAAUCCCCGGGCUUAACCUGGGAACUGCGCUUGUGACUGCGAGGCUGGAGUGCGGAAGAGGGAGGUGGAAUUCCACGUGUAGCAGUGAAAUGCGUAGAGAUGUGGAGGAACACCGAUGGCGAAGGCAGCCUCCUGGUCCAGCACUGACGCUCAUGCACGAAAGCGUGGGGAGCAAACAGGAUUAGAUACCCUGGUAGUCCACGCCCUAAACGAUGACGACUAGUUGUUGGGGUAGAAGUACCUUAGUAACGCAGCUAACGCG